AACGAACGCUGGCGGCAUGCCUAACACAUGCAAGUCGAACGAUACCUUCGGGUCUAGUGGCGCACGGGUGCGUAACGCGUGGGAACCUGCCCUUAGGUUCGGAAUAACUCCUCGAAAGGGGUGCUAAUACCGGAUAAUGUCUUCGGACCAAAGAUUUAUCGCCUUUGGAUGGGCCCGCGUUGGAUUAGCUAGUUGGUAGGGUAAAAGCCUACCAAGGCGACGAUCCAUAGCUGGUCUGAGAGGAUGAUCAGCCACACUGGGACUGAGACACGGUCCAGACUCCUACGGGAAGCAGCAGUGGGGAAUAUUGGACAAUGGGCGAAAGCCUGAGCCAGCAAUGCCGCGUGAGUGAUGAAGGCCUUAGGGUUGUAAAGCUCUUUUACCCGGGAUGAUAAUGACAGUACCGGGAGAAUAAGCACCGGCUAACUCCGUG
rnacentral:rRNA from 1 species